GACGAACGCUGGCGGCGUGCUUAACACAUGCAAGUCGAACGGAAAGGCCCUGCUUUUGUGGGGUGCUCGAGUGGCGAACGGGUGAGUAACACGUGAGUAACCUGCCCUUGACUUUGGGAUAACUUCAGGAAACUGGGGCUAAUACCGGAUAGGAGCUCCUGCUGCAUGGUGGGGGUUGGAAAGUUUCGGCGGUUGGGGAUGGACUCGCGGCUUAUCAGCUUGUUGGUGGGGGAGUGGCUUACCAAGGCUUUGACGGGUAGCCGGCCUGAGAGGGUGACCGGCCACAUUGGGACUGAGGUACGGCCCAGACUCCUACGGGAGGCAGCAGUGGGGAAUAGUGCACAAUGGGCGGAAGCCUGAUGCAGCAACGCCGCGUGCGGGAUGACGGCCUUCGGGUUGUAAGCCGCUUUCGCCUGUGACGAAGAGUGAGUGACGGUAAUGGGUAGAGAAGCACCGGCUAACUACGUG
rnacentral:rRNA from 1 species